AUGUGGAUGCAGAGAACAAAAUUUGAGGGCUGCCCAAUCAAUACCCGCUUUUGCGGGGACGCGGAGUUUCUGCACCCGAGCUCAAAUGAGCCCGGGCGAACAGUAAAAUCAAAACUAAAUCAAAAAAAUUUCAAAAAAACCAAAUUUUUUUUGGGAGAAACAUUGACAAAAAUUUUAAGUACUUGCAAAAAUUCAUCACGAAAUCACAUUUCUAGAAGGCGUGGCAAAAAAAACAAAAUCAGUACUCUGAAAAAGCUACUUUCAACAGCAUUUUGGAGCACUGAAUUUGUUUUUUUUGCCACGCCUUACAGGAAUGUGAUUUCAUGA
rnacentral:rRNA from 1 species